rnacentral:rRNA from 1 species
GACGAACGCUGGCGGCGUGCUUAACACAUGCAAGUCGAACGGAAAGGCCCUGCUUUUGUGGGGUGCUCGAGUGGCGAACGGGUGAGUAACACGUGAGUAACCUGCCCUUGACUUUGGGAUAACUUCAGGAAACUGGGGCUAAUACCGGAUAGGAGCUCCUGCUGCAUGGUGGGGGUUGGAAAGUUUCGGCGGUUGGGGAUGGACUCGCGGCUUAUCAGCUUGUUGGUGGGGUAGUGGCUUACCAAGGCUUUGACGGGUAGCCGGCCUGAGAGGGUGACCGGCCACAUUGGGACUGAGAUACGACCCAGACUCCUACGGGAGGCAGCAGUGGGGAAUAUUGCACAAUGGGCGGAAGCCUGAUGCAGCAACGCCGCGUGCGGGAUGACGGCCUUCGGGUUGUAAACCGCUUUCGCCUGUGACGAAGCGUGAGUGACGGUAAUGGGAAAAGAAGCACCGGCUAACUACGUG